rnacentral:rRNA from 1 species
GACGUAGGGCGCGAGCGUUGUCCGGAUUUAUUGGGCGUAAAGAGCUCGUAGGCGGCUUGUCACGUCGAUUGUGAAAGCCCGAGGCUUAACCUCGGGUCUGCAGUCGAUACGGGCUAGCUAGAGUGUGGUAGGGGAGAUCGGAAUUCCUGGUGGUAGCGGUGAAAUGCGCAGAUAUCAGGAGGAACACCGGUGGCGAAGGCGGAUCUCUGGGCCAUUACUGACGCUGGAGGAGCGAAAGCGUGGGGAGCGAA